CAGCAGCCGCGGGAAUACAGAGGGUGCGAGCGUUAAUCGGAUUUACUGGGCGUAAAGCGUGCGUAGGCGGCUUCUUAAGUCGGAUGUGAAAUCCCUGAGCUUAACUUAGGAAUUGCAUUCGAUACUGGGAAGCUAGAGUAUGGGAGAGGAUGGUAGAAUUCCAGGUGUAGCGGUGAAAUGCGUAGAGAUCUGGAGGAAUACCGAUGGCGAAGGCAGCCAUCUGGCCUAAUACUGACGCUGAGGUACGAAAGCAUGGGGAGCAAACAGGAUUAGAUACCCCUGUAGUUCCUGUCUCUUAUAC
rnacentral:rRNA from 1 species